rnacentral:lncRNA from 1 species
CCCUCUCUAUACAAAUUUAAAAGGAGGUUUCUCUUAAAAUACUGUGUUGCCAUAAUGACACCUGGUUUCACCUGAAGUUAACUAUUCUCAAACCUUGAGUUAACCAAUGCAUUUUUCUUAUGGAAACGUUUGUUUUAAGCUAUGAUAAUGUACUAUGCAUUUACCCCAAACUCCAUCUUCAAGUCGGUUCUGCCUAAUGGCUCAGAACCUACUUGACAAACCAGUAUGUUAUACUCAGAUAUUAUCCCCCUAAUCUAUGUAAAUGAAACUAUUUGUAUGGUAAUCUGCCCUUCUACAAGAGUCAAGUCAAUCAUUUUAUGGCCCGGGAUGAAUCAUCUGGUGCCAAGAUUAUCCUAAAAUGCAUUUUAUGGAUGAGGGGCCUGGUGCCAUUCUGAGUUUUAAGACAUUCCUUUCUUUCAUUAACAGACUGCUAGUGACUAUAUGACAUCCAGCUGAAGACUAGCAGGGGGGCACUCUUUCUGCCCCCUUCUGGUGCAUAUGUCAGAAGCUUUCUUUAUCUCCUUUAUACUUUAAUAAAACUUUAUUACACAAAAGCUCUGAGUGAUCAAGCCUCGUCUCUGGCCCCGGAUGGAAUUCUUCUUCGGAGGCCAAGAAUCCUGGCAUCUUUUUGUUCAGCAACAACCUUUCAUCUUGGGGGCUCAUCCGGGAUUCUUCAGGACAAGAUGGAGAAACUGAGGCCUAUGAAGAUUAAAUAAUGUGCUGAACUUGACACAGCUUGGAAGAGGUGAAGCCAAGUAUCGAAAAUCUAGCAAGGUGAGUAAGGAUCCUUGCCUUGACCUUCCACACAUCUGUCCCUUUUCUCACAUCUUUCCCUUCUGUUCUUAUCCCAAGGAAUCAAGAACACUUUGUUUCAUGUUAAGCCUCCUUAUACCACCAAAUGUGCACUCAAUUGGAGCAGUUGUGAGGUAUGCUAUUGGCAGCAGGUGGAACUUAGAAAUCUGAAAGUGUGAGCCCCAAUACUGACAUUCAACAGGAGAAUUAAUCUCUCUCUAGCUUCACUGGUAUUUGAAAGUUGCUAUAAAGUUUCCAGUUUGGAGAUAAUUUAGGCACAUAGUUUACCACAGCAAUGUUAGUCUCCCUCCCCUCUUUGUACUUCUCAGGCCCUCAUAAGUCACUGCUCUUCUUUUGUCAUGUGCUGCUUACUCCAGACAGA